rnacentral:tRNA from 1 species
GCCCGCCUAGCUCAAUCGGAUAGAGCGUCAGACUCUUACGAGUGCGGGUGAAUCACAUACCUGUGAUCUGAAGGCUGCGAGUUCGACCCUCGCGGUGGGCU